rnacentral:rRNA from 1 species
AGCCCAUUAGCUAGCUCACCCCCCAAAAACUUAACCUGAAAAAUUUAUGUAACCAUAAAUACCACUACUACUAUAAGAACAAAACAUUUUUCCCCCCUAGUACGGGAGACAGAAAAGGAACAAUUGAAGCCAUAGACAAAGUACCGCAAGGGAACGCUGAAAAAGAAAUGAAAUAACCCAGUAAAGCACAAAAAAGCAGAGAUUAACACUCGUACCUUUUGCAUCAUGAUUUAGCCAGUAAAACCCAAGCAAAGAGAAUUUUAGUUUGACCCCCCGAAACUAGAUGAGCUACUCCAAGGCAGCCUGACUUACAGGGCAAACCCGUCUCUGUGGCAAAAGAGUGGGAAGAACUUCGAGUAGGAGUGACAGACCUAUCGAAUCUAGUUAUAGCUGGUUGCCUGAAAAAUGGAUAGGAGUUCAGCCUUUGGGCUUCUUUACUCACUAAGCAUCUUACAAUUCACGUACUAUGAAGCGGACAACAAGAAACCCAUAGAGUUAGUCAAAGGAGGUACAGCUCCUUUGACCUAAGACACAACUUUUCAGACUGGGUAAAGAUCAUAACAACCCUAAAGGUAGGGUGUUUUUGUGGGCCUAAAAGCAGCCACCCCUAUAAAAAGCGUUAAAGCUUAAACAUCAACCCAACCUAAUUAUUCCGACAUUAUAAUCUUAACCCCUCCGCACUAUCAGGCCUUCCCAUGCAACCAUGGGAGAGACCAUGCUAAUAUGAGUAAUAAGAGGGCUUCCGCCCCUCUCCCCGCACACGUGUAAAUCGGUACGGACCAACCACCGAAACUUAACGACCCCAAUCAACAGAGGGCACUAGAUAACUUUAACCUAAUAACAAGAAGAACAUCCAACCUCAUUCCGUUGACCCCACACUGGUGUGCAACUAGGGAAAGACAAACAGAAAGAGAAGGAACUCGGCAAACAUUUAGCCUCGCCUGUUUACCAAAAACAUCGCCUCUUGUAAGCAACAAAUAAGAGGUCCCACCUGCCCAGUGACUAUAUGUUCAACGGCCGCAGUAUUUUAACCGCGCGAAGGUAGCGCAAUCACUUGUCCUUUAAAUGGGGACCAGUAUGAAUGGCAUCACGAAGGCUUAACUGUCUCCUCUUUCAAGUCAAUGAAAUUGAUCUCCCCGUGCAGAAGCGGGGAUACUAACAUAAGACGAGAAGACCCUAUGGAGCUUUAGAUAUUAAGCAGACUGUGUUAAGCACCCAUUAAAGGACUAAACUUAACGGCCCCUGUCUUAAUACCUUUGGUUGGGGCGACCAUGGGGAAUAAGAACCCCCCACGUGGACUGGAGACCUACAUCAUCUUUUAACCAAAGUCUAAUAAAACUAAGAGCUCCCGCUCUAAUACUCAGAACACUCUGACCUAAUAAGAUCCGGCAAGGCCGAUCAACGGACCGAGUUACCCUAGGGAUAACAGCGCAAUCCCCUUUUAGAGCCCAUAUCGACAAGGGGGUUUACGACCUCGAUGUUGGAUCAGGACAUCCUAAUGGUGCAGCCGCUAUUAAGGGUUCGUUUGUUCAACGAUUAAAGUCCUACGUGAUCUGAGUUCAGACCGGAGUAAUCCAGGUCAGUUUCUAUCUAUGAUAUGAUUCUUCCCCAGUACGAAAGGACCAUGAAGAAAAGGCCAAUUCUUAAAGUACGCCCUACCCUUACUUAUUGAAAACAACUAAAACAAACAAAAGGGACAUAACACUUUACCUGAGAAAAGAGUAC